ACUAGUUCUUAAACCUGCGAUGUCUCAGCUGUUCACAAUGAGAUUGCUAUAGUUUGACUGCACGAUAACUCGAUCUUCUAAUCAUAUGAAAUUCUAAGAUGUAUGUUGGCUGCAGUAGGUUAUUGUAGGAAUAGGAUGUGUACCUAGAUGGAAUCUAUUGAUUUUGAUAGUUAAGGAGUUGUCCUAUGUGAUUUAUGAGAUUGAGUUCAGAAGAUCUUGAUCAAGGCAGUGUAAAUGAUGGUAAAGAGUUUCCAUCAGGUUUCACAAAUGAACUCAAAUCAAUUAAAUUUUAUAUAUGACAGAUGAUGGGGUCUGACAAGUAUUUCAUGACCUCCGUCUUGUCGGGAUUCACGAUAGAAGAACCGAAUCAUACGGUAACUACACAUAGAGAUCAUCCUUCUGUUUUACUGAGUUGUCACUACAUAUUGUUAGACGUUAUUGGUGGAUUGUGAGACCAACGAGAAUUAUUUUGAUGAUCAAUAAUUCUCGAUUGGUGAGUUGGAAUCGUUCUAAUCCAUUGAAAAGAGUUUCAAUGAUAUUUUGAUGGAGAUCAAAAUAUGUCUCGCUUCUAGACAGAAUAGAACUUAUGGGGUCAUACAUAAAAGAGGUCUUGACUGAUCGAAAAGAGUCCCACUUAACUGAAAUUCUGUUAAAUCGCAAAAGAAGUUAAUGAUCAAUUUGAUUGAUGAUUGGAUUUGAAUGUAAAAGUUGCAUUGAGGACUUGCUAAGAGUUAGUAAGUUAUAGGAGGAUUUAAUUGCAAAUAUUACUAAUUAUUUGAUUUGAUCAAAUAUGAGUUCAAUUAAAUCAGAUCUAAUUUGAUUAGAUUUGGUUUAAUUUAGAUUUUCUAGUCCAAAUAGGAUUUGGACUUAAUUCCUAAUUGGGUUUGACUCAAACCAGAUUCGAAUUAGAUUUGAAUCAGAUUGAAAUUACGAUAGAAAAUCAGAGUCAUAUUGGAUUGGAUCCUAAUCAAAUUAAAUCAGAUUUAAUUUGAUUAGAAUUGGUUUGAGUUAGACUCAGACUGGGUUUCGUUAAUCUAAUUGGAUUGGACUUAAUAAGUGUUUGACUUAAGAUGAAACCCAAACCAUAUAGGACUCAAACUAGGUCUUGAAUUGGACAAGGAUUGGAUCCUUACCCAUAAGCCACCUCAUAAAUACCAUGCCCCAUAUGAGAGGAUGCCCAAGGUCUUUUAGCGUCAAAGGGGUUUCACGUACAGAAAGGUGCGUGGAGAAAUAAUAAGAGGCGCCUAUUUUCUAAGGUUCUCUGGGGUGGGGCGGCAACUCACCAUGAUGAGUCCGAAUCUAUCCCAACUCCUCCCUAACCAACCCUAGCCUUUAAAUAAGGGAUAAAAUGGAUGCCUUCUUAAAGAGAGAGAUGAAGAUUGGUGUGAGAUUUGAAGCGAUGUGUGUGAGAAGGAGAUGAGGGCGUGAGCAUGGUGGCGUGAACAUGGCAGAAGUAGUAUACGGGUUUAGCGAAGUUGACCUAAAGGAAGAGAAGCAGAAGAAACACGACGGAGAAGCACCAAACCAAGAAAGGGGUGGCGGAGAAGAAUCAAAUGAAGGGAGAAGUGGGAUGUGAGAAACCAAAUGAAGGGAGAAGUGGGAUGCGAGAUUGCCUAGAGGGAGACGAGAGGGAGAGUGGGAGACGAGGCGGAGACUGAGGUGGAGAUGUCGAUGAGAGGCGAGAGCGAGAUGGGUUGUGGUGUGGAACGUGUGCUUGAGGUGAGUGAGGGGAUCGGGGUUGGAAAGGGGGGCGGUCGAAAUGAGUAUCAUGAAUAGGAUUAGAAAUUAGGGUUAUUAUACUUUAUAGGACAUUAAUUUGGUUGAAUUCGGUUUUUUCAGUUUUUCAUCGAUUUCAAACUGAAUCGAAAAUUAAAAAUUCUUAAAUUUCAAAACCGCACUGCACCAAAUAUCCAAAAAAACCACAUUGAUUUUCCUUGUUCGAUUCAGUAACUAAAAAAUCCAAACCAAACUUACACCCCUACCUACAAUCCCUUAUCAAUUUAUAUGGAAGUUUAUAGUAAAUUAUCACAUGAAUAAAAUCGAUUACACCUUGGUUGAGUUGGUGACUACUGAUGGGAUCUUGAACAGUUCAAGGGGAAGGGUUCCUACCUGGUGAACCUAGAAAAAAGAAUAAGGGACAUACCUUCAGAAGGUAUAAGGCAAUAGUAAGUACCGGAGGAUCUGAGAGAUUUAAAGAUAAGAUAGAUCUAAAGUAUAUGUCAAACCUCAGGUUUGAUCAUAUUGAAGAGACAGAAUAAAUAAAUUGAAAAGGUAUGAGCUUUCAGGCUCAUCGACUCUUGAGUCGUUAUUAAUUUAUGGAUUCUGCCUUCAAGGAUAGAUGGACAAACCAUCCAUUGUGGGACAUGGGGUAAGGACCACUAAUAUACUUGUCCUGAUAUAUACUGAUGUAUAUAGCCCAUUCGAUGAGCUGCUUAGGGUUGAUUUUUUUUACUUCAUUACUCAUAUUGGUGGCUAUGGGUAUAUGUGUAAGAUACAAAUAUGAAAUCUUAAAAAGUUCAAAGAAUUCAGAUACGAAAUAAAGAAAUAAAUUGAAAAAUUCUUAAGGUUCUUCGAUGAGAUGAAAGAGGUGUAUGUCGUAAUGGGAGUUUCUAACCUAUCUCAAGAAAAUAGCAUAGUCUCAUAAUAGAUUCUUCCUGGUGCACCUCAACUUGACGGAAUGUCGAAGAGAAGGAAUUGGACUCUAUUCGAUAUAGUCUGAUCUAUGAUGAGCAUCACUGAUUUUUUCUUAUUUUUUUUAGGAAUGAGCUUUACUCAAUGAAUAGAGUUUCCUCUAAGUUCUUAUCAUGCCGUAUGAGCUAUGGCAUGUUAAGGAAGUUCGGUCCAUGUCAGGUGUUGGCAUACGGAUCAAGUUAGAGGUUAGAUUUAUGAGACUCAUUUAAAGAUAUCCUAAAGAGUUUUAGGAAUAUUAAUUUCUUCUCAGAGGAUCACAAUAUGAUUGUGGCCCAAUAUGCUAUGUUCUUGGAGAAAUAGUUUGUUCACGAUGAAAUAAUGGGAGAAAAAUAUAGCUCAAAAAGAGAAAGUCUCUUAAGAGCAAUGAGUCAUAGAACCUAUUCAUGUUGAGCCAGUACAUGUAGUCCCUCCUUCAUCUUAUAAUCUUCGGUCUUACUCAAAGAUACUUAGAUAUUUUGACAGAGGACAUAGAGGAAGUGUUCCUCGUGGGAGAUAAGGAACAUAAAUUUGAUGUGAUCAAAUCAUUUGAUGUGUCAAAUAUUUCUUGAGAGAAAUAUGUAUUUGUAAGAAGAUCAGUGAGAGUAUUGUCACGAUCCUCGUAUUGUACGUGGAUGACAUCCUCUCAAUUAGGAAAGUUGUUCCUAUGCUAACAUCGGUUUAAAAUUUGAUUGUCUAAACAAAUUCUUCAUGAAGGACCUUGAGAAGUAUCCAAUAAGGAUUUAUGAGAUAGAUCUAAGGAGAUGCUAAAUUUUUCACAGAAAAUAUGCAUAGAGGAGGUGCUGAAAGGGUUCAGCAUGGAUAACUCCUAUAAGGAUUUUUAUCUUUUAGGCAUGAGACUGAUCUAUUCAAAAAGAUGUAUUUUAACAUAUUGGAGGAGAUUUAGCAUAUGAGCUAAAUCCUUUAUGCUUUGGCCAAAGGGACCCUCAUGUAUGUCUUGCUGUGCAUAUAAUCCAAUAUGGUUCUUGCUGUGAGUGUCACGAGCAAAUAUCGGUUGAAUGCUGGUUGAGAGUACUGGAUAGUUAUGAAGAAUAUUUUCUAAGUAUUUGAGAAGCACUUAGGAUGUGUUCAUGAUCUUAAGGAGGAGAAAAAAAAUUGAGGAUAAAAGGAUUCACAAUUCAGACUUUUAGUCGAUGCUGAUGGUAGAGUCUACAUCAGGAUGUAUUUUCUUAUGCAAUGGGAUUCGAUAAAUUAGAAGAGUUCCAAACAACCGAUCAUUGCAGAUUUAGAAGUCGAGUAUGUCGCUGCCUAUGAGGUAGCUAAGAGUAUUUUGGUUUGUUGCAGAACUAGGUGUAAUGUCAUGAGAUGAUACAACACUAUUCUUAGGCAACGAUGGCGCCAUAACUCUAGCUAAGGAGUCAAGGUCUCACCAGAGCUCUUAGCACAUAAAAGCGAUGAUUCGUGAUUAUUUCGAGAAGUAACUUCGAGGAUCAGAGUAGACUCCACGAAAAUAUGAUGGGCCUACUGACUAAAUGAUUUAGCCAGUCAAAACUAAAGCACAUCUUGAAAAGAUGAGGCUUAGGUUUGUGGCAGAUUGGUUUUAGUGUAAGUGAGAUUGUUAGAUGUAUUUCCUAAAAGCCAAUUAGACCGACAUAUUAAUUUUUUUUAGAAUAUAAUUUUGUACUUGAUCUAAUUAAUUAGGACAGUUAAUUCAUUCAUGUAGUGAUGUGUCCAUGAAUCGUCCAAGAAAUUAAUAGAUGAUGGCAUAUUCUCAAGAGUUGAGAAUUUGAGAUAUGUGUCAUUGAUGGCUAAUUCGUAAAUUGCUCGUAAUCGAAAGAUCAUCAUGGGAACGGUGAUUGAUCCGAUAAGAUUGAUGUAUGGAUCGCUUUCUUUAGGAUAGACGAGUCUUGAGUCUACGGUGUGAGAAUAUUGGAGCGAGAGUGCAGGUGGUUGUUAGAGAAUAACGAUACUGAGCGUGAUCAAUAUGAGAAAUCAUUUGGAUGUCUACUCACUCGUCAAUGAUAUUCUCGAUGCUGUAGUGGUGUGACUAGUUCUUAGACCUACGGUGCCUCGACUGUUCACAAUGAGCUUGCUGUAGUUUGACUGCAUCAUAACUCGAUCUCUUAGUCAUAUGAAAUUCUGAAGUGUAUGUUGGCUGCAGUAGGUUCAUUAUAGGAAUAGGAUGUGUACCUAGAUGAAAAUAUCGACCUUGAUAGUUAAGGAGUACUCUUUUGUGAUUUAUGAGAUUGAGUUCGGAAGAUCUUGAUUAGGGCAGUGUGAAUGAUGGAAAAGAGUUUUCAUUAAGUUUCACAAAUGAACUCAAGUCAAAUAAAUCUUAUAUAUAACAGACGAUGGGGUUUGACGAGUUUUUUAUGACCUCCAUCUUGUCGAGACUCACGAUAAAAGAACUGAAUCAUACGAUAACUAUACCUAGAGGUUUAUCCUUCUGGUUUACUGGGUUGCUAUUAUAUGCUGCUAGGUAUUAUUGGUGGAUUGUGGGAUCAAUGAGAAUUAUUUUGAUGGUUAAUAAUUAUCGAUUGAUGAGUUAGAAUCGUUUUAAUCCAUUGAAAGAAGUUUCAAUAAUAUUUUGAUGGAGAUCAAAAUAUGUCUCACUAUCAGACGGAAU
rnacentral:lncRNA from 1 species